AAAUUGAAGAGUUUGAUCAUGGCUCAGAUUGAACGCUGGCGGCAGGCCUAACACAUGCAAGUCGAACGGUAACAGGAAGCAGCUUGCUGCUUUGCUGACGAGUGGCGGACGGGUGAGUAAUGUCUGGGAAACUGCCUGAUGGAGGGGGAUAACUACUGGAAACGGUGGCUAAUACCGCAUAACGUCGCAAGACCAAAGAGGGGGACCUUCGGGCCUCUUGCCAUCAGAUGUGCCCAGAUGGGAUUAGCUUGUUGGUGAGGUAAGGGCUCACCAAGGCGACGAUCCCUAGCUGGUCUGAGAGGAUGACCAGCCACACUGGAACUGAGACACGGUCCAGACUCCUACGGGAGGCAGCAGUGGGGAAUAUUGCACAAUGGGCGCAAGCCUGAUGCAGCCAUGCCGCGUGUAUGAAGAAGGCCUUCGGGUUGUAAAGUACUUUCAGCGGGGAGGAAGGUGUUGUGGUUAAUAACCGCAGCAAUUGACGUUACCCGCAGAAGAAGCACCGGCUAACUCCGUGCCAGCAGCCGCGGUAAUACGGAGGGUGCAAGCGUUAAUCGGAAUUACUGGGCGUAAAGCGCACGCAGGCGGUCUGUCAAGUCGGAUGUGAAAUCCCCGGGCUCAACCUGGGAACUGCAUUCGAAACUGGCAGGCUUGAGUCUUGUAGAGGGGGGUAGAAUUCCAGGUGUAGCGGUGAAAUGCGUAGAGAUCUGGAGGAAUACCGGUGGCGAAGGCGGCCCCCUGGACAAAGACUGACGCUCAGGUGCGAAAGCGUGGGGAGCAAACAGGAUUAGAUACCCUGGUAGUCCACGCCGUAAACGAUGUCUACUUGGAGGUUGUGCCCUUGAGGCGUGGCUUCCGGAGCUAACGCGUUAAGUAGACCGCCUGGGGAGUACGGCCGCAAGGUUAAAACUCAAAUGAAUUGACGGGGGCCCGCACAAGCGGUGGAGCAUGUGGUUUAAUUCGAUGCAACGCGAAGAACCUUACCUGGUCUUGACAUCCACAGAACAUUCCAGAGAUGGAUUGGUGCCUUCGGGAACUGUGAGACAGGUGCUGCAUGGCUGUCGUCAGCUCGUGUUGUGAAAUGUUGGGUUAAGUCCCGCAACGAGCGCAACCCUUAUCCUUUGUUGCCAGCGGUCCGGCCGGGAACUCAAAGGAGACUGCCAGUGAUAAACUGGAGGAAGGUGGGGAUGACGUCAAGUCAUCAUGGCCCUUACGACCAGGGCUACACACGUGCUACAAUGGCGCAUACAAAGAGAAGCGACCUCGCGAGAGCAAGCGGACCUCAUAAAGUGCGUCGUAGUCCGGAUUGGAGUCUGCAACUCGACUCCAUGAAGUCGGAAUCGCUAGUAAUCGUGGAUCAGAAUGCCACGGUGAAUACGUUCCCGGGCCUUGUACACACCGCCCGUCACACCAUGGGAGUGGGUUGCAAAAGAAGUAGGUAGCUUAACCUUCGGGAGGGCGCUUACCACUUUGUGAUUCAUGACUGGGGUGAAGUCGUAACAAGGUAACCGUAGGGGAACCUGC
rnacentral:rRNA from 1 species